rnacentral:rRNA from 1 species
UGGGGAAUAUUGCACAAUGGGGGAAACCCUGAUGCAGCGACGCCGCGUGAGCGAAGAAGGCUUUCGAGUCGUAAAGCUCUGUCCUAUGAGAAGAUAAUGACGGUAUCAUAGGAGGAAGCCCUGGCUAAAUACGUGCCAGCAGCCGCGGUAAUACGUAUGGGGCGAGCGUUGUCCGGAAUUAUUGGGCGUAAAGGGUACGUAGGCGGUUUUUUAAGUCUGAUGUGAAAGCCCACGGCUUAACCGUGGAAGUGCAUUGGAAACUGGGAAGCUUGAGUACAGAAGAGGAAAGUGGAACUCCAUGUGUAGCGGUGGAAUGCGUAGAUAUAUGGAAGAAAACCAGUGGCGAAAGCGACUUUCUGGUCUGUCACUGACGCUGAGGCCCGAAAGCGUGGGUAGCAAACAGG